AUGAACGCUGGCGGCGUGCCUAAUACCUGCAAGUCGAGCGAACGGACGAGAAGCUUGCUUUUCUGAUGUUAGCGGCGGACGGGUGAGUAACACGUGGAUAACCUACCUAUAAGACUGGGAUAACUUCGGGAAACCGGAGCUAAUACCGGAUAAUAUUUUGAACCGCAUGGUUCAAAAGUGAAAGACGGUCUUGCUGGCACUUAUAGAUGGAUCCGCGCUGCAUUAGCUAGUUGGUAAGGUAACGGCUUACCAAGGCAACGAUGCAUAGCCGACCUGAGAGGGUGAUCGGCCACACUGGAACUGAGACACGGUCCAGACUCCUACGGGAGGCAGCAGUAGGGAAUCUUCCGCAAUGGGCGAAAGCCUGACGGAGCAACGCCGCGUGAGUGAUGAAGGUCUUCGGAUCGUAAAACUCUGUUAUUAGGGAAGAACAUAUGUGUAAGUAACUGUGCACAUCUUGACGGUACCUAAUCAGAAAGCCACGGCUAACUACGUG
rnacentral:rRNA from 1 species